AUUGAACGCUGGCGGCAGGCCUAACACAUGCAAGUCGAGCGGAGCGGCGGACGGGUGAGUAAUGCCUAGGAAUCUGCCUGGUAGUGGGGGAUAACGUCCGGAAACGGGCGCUAAUACCGCAUAAUAUCAGAUGAGCCUAGGUCGGAGUAGCUAGUUGGUGGGGUAAAGGCCUACCAAGGCGACGAUCCGUAACUGGUCUGAGGGGAUGAUCAGGCACACUGGAACUGAGAAACGGUCCAGAUUCCUACGGGAGGGAGCAUUGAGGAAUAUUGGACAAUGGGCGAAAGCGUGAUCCAGCCAUGCCGAGUGGGUGAAGAAGGUCUUCGGAUUGUAAAGAACUUUAAGUUGGGAGGCGUUACCAAAAGAAUAAGCAACGGCUAUCUUCGUGCGAGCAGCCGCAGUAAUA
rnacentral:rRNA from 1 species